rnacentral:lncRNA from 1 species
GCACACAGGGUAGUCAUGAGGGCAGCAGCUGUAGCGAUCUUCGCAGCACGUGGCAGCCUCGAGUGGGCAGCAUCCCCAAGCAAAGCAGUAGUUAUAGUACUCGUAUAUGCAGCAGCAGGUAUUGCUCUCGGGACAGGAAUAAUAACUAUCGCACACGGUCGGAGGUUUUAUAGGAGAUGGUGGAGACGGUCCGGGAUUGGGGGGAUUUUCACCUGUUUUGAUCGGAUAAGAGGCUUCCAUCGCGAUCCCACAUUUGCCAGUUACGGUAUUGGCCACAUUCCUUGCCAUCCUGAUAUAGCCUGCUUCUCCCCAGCUGCUUCCCCAUGAGUUCUUUACAAUCCAAUAGUCUUUACCUUUCUCUGUGCCAUAUCCAACAGCAGUGACACCGUGGUCUAGUUGUGUUCCACAUUUUCCAUCAAAUAUACCCUGGAAAAAACCGUAAAAAUGUCAUUUAUCGGACAGUGCUCGGACUUUGAU